rnacentral:lncRNA from 1 species
AAAAAAUAUUUAGUAUUGGUGCUUGAUAAGUCUCCUUGAAAUUACAUAAACACAAACAAAACAAAAUGUACUGCAAUGCUAGAAGAAAGCAUAGGGUCACCACUCCAAUAUAUUGAAACAAACACCAACUUCAUUAACAAGACUUCUAGAGCUCAAGAAAUAAAACCAAGGAUUAAUAAAAGGGAUAACUUCAAACUAACAAGUUUCUGCAUAGCAAAGAAAAAAAAUUAAGAGCAUGAAGAGAAAGCCUACAGAAUGGAAAAUAUUUCUGAACUACAGGGCAUUAAUAUCCAGAACAUACAAAGAAUUUAAAAACUAUCAAACAUCAGAAAAACAAAUAAUCCAAUCAAAAGUUAUCAAAUGAAGUAAACAGAUAUUUCUCAAAAGAAGAACUACAAAUGGCCAAUAAAUAUGUAAAAAAAUAUUAACCAAAUAUUAACCAAACUUUUUAACCAGGGAAAUGCAAAUCAAAAUUACACUGAUUUCAUUUCAUUCCUGUUAAAAUGGCAACCAUAAAGAAUACAAAUAGCAUUAAGUGCUGGUGAGGAUAUGUAGAAAAGGUACAUUUUUGCAUUGUUGGUGGGACUAUAAAUUAGUACAAACUCUUUGGAAAGCAGAUUGGAGAUUUCUCAAAGUAUGAAGAGGAUAACCACCAUAUGACCCAGCUAUCCCACUCCUUGGUGUUUAUUCAAAAGAACUAAAAUCAGCAUCAGUCCAUGGUCAUCAGCCAAUAUUUCUCUGGGAUUGUAGUAACACAGUGCACCAUGAUCAGGAAACAAAAAGAGACAGCAAAUGGCUAAUGUCCAACAUCGGUCAAAGGCACAUUCCCAAUAUCCUAACUUCAUUUCAUUAGACCCUACCUACAAAAGGUUCCACCAGCAGUCCCCCUGGGCUAGGUGAUCAAAAAUUGAACAUAUGAGCUUUUGAAAACAUUCAAGAUCCAAACUAGAAUAGCUAAUAUGAUUU